AUUAUUGAGCAGCUGGAGCUGUCCUUUCCCCUCCGGAAUGUGGAUCGCCCAGAGCUCUGCCACAUCUCCUUGUAUGACUUCCAGAAGUUCUUGCAACUGGACCAGAAGGAGUCCUGGGCGUCGGACACUAACAGGGUGAGGGAGUUCCUGUUGGGGUACCGGAAGGGGGGCGUCCUCACCGAGCCCUCCCUGCAACUGGAUGAG